GACAUAGGUGGCAAGCGUUAUUCGGAAUUACUAGGCGUAAAGCGAGUGUAGGCGGACGAUUAAGUCCGAUGUUAAAUCUCCAGGCUUAACUUGGAGUCGCAUCGGAUACUGGUCGCCUCGAGUGGGGUAGGGGGCAGCGGAAUUCCCGGUGUAGCGGUGAAAUGCGUAGAUAUCUGGAGGAAUACCGGUGGCGAAGGCGGCAUCCUGGACCGGCAUUGACGCUGAGGAGCGAAAGCCAGGGGAGCAAACGGG
rnacentral:rRNA from 1 species